UACAGAGGGUGCGAGCGUUAAUCGGAAUUACUGGGCGUAAAGCGUGCGUAGGUGGUUUCUUAAGCUGGAUGUGAAAGCCCCGGGCUUAACCUGGGAACUGCAUUCAGGACUGGGAAACUCGAGUCUGGGAGAGGGUGGUGGAAUUUCCGGUGUAGCGGUGAAAUGCGUAGAUAUCGGAAGGAACAUCAGUGGCGAAGGCGACCGCCUGGCCUAAGACUGACACUGAGGCACGAAAGCGUGGGGAGCAAACAGGAUUAGAUACCCCAGUAGU
rnacentral:rRNA from 1 species